CGAAAAAAGAAGAAAGAUCAACUAUUUCUAUAGUUCUUCGUACAAGAAUCAACUGAAAUUAAAUAAUCUUAUGUAAGUGAGUGCUGGAUCUGCUGCAGCCAUCUUGCUACCUACCUGAGAAAGAAACCAGCAUUGAAGGGAGGUGCAAAGAACCUGGAUCCUGAAUCAACCAAGCCUGAAUCCUGUCUAACCUCUGUACACACUGUUUAUGACCUAAUUUAUUCCCUCAUGUUUAUGCCAACAUCUUUUGAGGUUUCUGUUACUUGCAACAAAAAAGCGAUCCUUCUUUGCUAGGGCAUAACAUGGGUGACUUUUACUCCAGUUCACAAGAAGCUCCUCAUUUCCAUCUGAGACUUUGUCAGCCUGGUAUUCACUAUCCAUAUUUCUAUUAGCAUUUUGGUCAAAAUCAUUUAACCAGUCUCUUAAGAAGUUCCAAACUUUCCUUAUCUUCCUGUCUUCUUCUGAGCCCUCCAAAGUCUUCUAACCUCUGCCCAUUACUCAGUUCUACAGUCACUUCCACAUCUUCAAGUAUCUUUAUAGCAACAUCUCACACCUCACUCCUCAGUACCAGUUUUCUGUGUUAGUCCAUUCUUGCAUUGCUGUGAAGAAACACCUGAGGCUGGGCAAUUUAUAAAGAAAAGAGGUUUAAUUGGCUUAUAGUUCUGCAGGCUGAACAGGAAGCUUGGUGCCAGUAUCUGCUUGGCUUCUAGUGAGGCCUCAGGGAGCUUUUACUCAUAGCGGAAGGCAAAGCAGAAGCAGGCAUGUCACAUGAUGAGAGAGGGGGCAAGAGAGAGGGGGAGGCACCACGCUCCUUCAAAAAACCAGGUCUUGUAUGGGCUCAUUAUCAAAGUGAGGCCACCAAGCCAUUCAUUAGGGAUCUGCCACCACGACCCAAACACCUCCCACUAGUCCCCACCUCCAACAUUGGGAAUCACAUUUCAACAUAAGAUUUGGAGGUAACAAAUAGCCAACCCAUAUCACUCAUUCUUAAACAGAUUUUAAAAUGUAUAAAGCAUUUUUGCACCCAUCAUCUUUAACAACCUUUACAACAUUGUAAAGAAAAAUUUGAGCAAGUAUUUUUAUCAUUCCCAAGUUAUACAUGGGGAAACUGGAGUUUCAAGAUGGUAAGAUGGUAAGUGACCUGUACACGGUCUUACAUCUACUCCUUUCUACAACUUACUCCCAGUGUCAAAUCUAGCUCCUCUGGUUACAAAUACCAAGCUGUGUUCUCAGCUGUGAAGCCUGAUAUUUCAUGAAAGCUUUUGCAUUUCAUCUACUGCCUAUAUGCUCCCCCAAUUUAUACACCACUCUUAGAUAACAAGGAUGAGAUUCUAUUAAGAAAUAAAGCACCCAAAUAGAAACAUGAAGUACAAAUGAUUUUCUAAGUAUUUCUGGUAAGCAAUUAUGCUUCAAAAGGCUGCUUUAAUGAACAUUGGAGUGUUCAACAGUCAACUUGCUUUCUGUAAAUCAAAUAUGGAAGGAGAAAUGUCAUAAAAUUUUCAAAUAGACAAAAAAGUUCAACUUAGAGAAGGAUUAUUUUCCUUUAUUUAGGCUCACCUUGGGCUUACAUUUAUGCAUUGCCCUGUAGUGCUUUAUUUGGUUUUAUAUUAAUUUUAGAAUUUUAUAGAGUAGUAUAUGCUUGAUAUGCACAAUAUGGAAAACAAAGAAAACAACAAAGUUUUAUGUUUUGUUUUUUUAAUGCUUAUAAUAUUAUUUUAAAAGACAUGAGUAAAUGAAAGCACAGAACAGGUUCUUGGAUAGAAAGAAUUAUUAGGAAGUCAAUUCUCCCUAAAUUAACACAUAAAUGUAAUAUAAGUCCCAUAGGAACCACAAUAGGAUUUGCUUUUGUCAAAAACAAUUAUAAAGUUUAUAUCAGUCAGGAUUAAGUUGAGUUCAGAGUAAUAGAACAGUCAAAAUAACAGUGGCAAAAGUAAAAUCAAAGACUGUUUCUCUCUUGAGUAAGCAUGGCCCAGAGGUCAGGGGUACGGCCCUAGAAGGCCCUCAUGGUACCAGAAAACCCAUCUCCUUCAUCUUGUUCCUCUGUCCACCUUGAGGACAAAAUAGCUGCUAAGCUCCAAAUAUGUUUACAGGAGGAAAAGGGAAGAGGUGGGAAACAGGGUACACUCCUUUCCAUAAACAGCUUUUCCCAAAAAUUGAGCACACCACUUCCACUUACGGUCCACUGGGGAAGUCAUGAUCAUAUGGCCACACUUAACUUCAAGAGAGGUUGGGAAAAGCAGUUUUUGUUGUUGGCAUUCAGAUGCCCACCUAAAAAUUGAGGGUUCUAUUAGUAUAAAAAAAAGGUGUCCAGGCACGGUGGCCUACACCUAUAAUCUCAGCACUUUGGGAGGCAGAGAUGGGCGGAUCAAUUGAGGUCAGGAGUUCGAGACCAGCCUGGCCAACAUGGUGAAGCCCCAUCUCCACUAAAAAUACAAAAAUUAGCUGGGUGUGGUGGCAUGUGCCUGUAGUCCCUGCUACUAGGGAGGCCGAGGCAGGAGAGUCACUUGAACCCAGGAGACGAAGAUUGCACUGCACUCCAGCCUGGUGACAGAGGGAGACUCCAUCUCAAAAAAAAAAAAAAAGAAAAGAAGGUUGAAGAUCAUCCGCUUUUACAGACGAAGAAAUUGAGGCAUGCAGCGAAGUAAUAGAACUAGGAUUCAAACUCAAGUGUGUUGCAUCCCAGAGUUACACUGUCCACAAAGAAGUCUCUUUCACUGGAGAAAAAAGGACCUAGAAAAGCAGGCAACUGGGUAGUGUCCUUUAUCUGAGAACUCCAUCCAAAAAGAACCAAGCACACAGAAGUAACAACAUUCUUGCCAUCAGCAGGAAGAAUUAGGGCACUUGGCUCUGGCUUAAUGUUAAGGCUGAGGGGGUCGGCCCAGGCAAGUCCUGGGAUCUAAGAAAGAGCUUCUAAUUACUUACCUCUCCUGGCCUCCAUCCAAAAAUUCCUCUUUCUUAAAUAUCUCCACCUUAAAUAUUUACAGGUUAGGAAUGCCUUAUGCUCUUGAAAGUAUUCAAACAUCCAUGAACCAAUUACUGUGAUCAUAAGUGUAUGAUCUUCUGAAUGGGAGAGACUAAUGGGUCGAACGCCUACUUCUAGAUCGGGAGUUGGUCAACCACACUCAAAAAAACUGAAAGCUGUUUCCAGAAGAACAGAAGAGCAGAGAAAGAAGAGACAGAUGUUGGAUGGGCAAAAGCAGCAAAUGUCUACCACACUGACUUAUGGCUAAGAUGUAGAAAAAUCUCACUCCUCCUAGCCUGUGAGAAGAUGGCCCAGGCCUAAAGACAGAAAUAAAAUGAAUAGGAACAACAAACUUCUUCAUUUGCUUCCAGUAGAAGAUAAUUGAUAAUUCCAUGCUUCCUUUCUUUUUUGACCACUUUGAACAAAAAUGAUCCCAUUUAUAUUUUUUUCUCAAACAAUUGUGCAGAUUCUGGGCUAACAGCUUGGGAGUAGAACUUGUUUAGAACUGCUUCAUUUAUUCUCAGAUUUGGAAUGUGUCAUUAAAAAAAUAAAAAACAAAAUAGAAGUGGUGCCUUCAGUCUGGGGAUAGUAGGCAUUUGCCAUUUUUUGACCAUAUUCUGUUUUCCACAGCUCUCCACCUCCAUCUUACCCACUGUGGGCUAAAGCUGGGUGCAAAGUCUUGGCUCAGCCAUUAACACACUCCAGCUGGGUUGCUGGAGCGGGCUCAGGGGAAAAGUCAUGCUGUGGUUGAUGGGCAGCCAUAUCCAGUUCACAGAGCAGCACCAGCAGAUCUGGCAUUGGCAGCACUGUCCUUAGAUUCAGGCAAGAGAGAGACCCCAAAUUAGGGAGGCCUGCCUGGCCCUCCUGCCUGAGUUCCUCCCCAUGGAGCCAGGAGUCUACAAGUCCAACAGGACGUGCCUACUCAGAGCCUGAACUUCAUGACCACUUCUUGACUACACUUUUGGUAACCAAGUACUGUGAAUUCCCUGCGCAGAUGAGCCUUGGGAUCACUUCCAGGACCUAUGUAAUCUUCUUCCCUGUGUUUAUCCCCCUGGGAGCAGACCAUUCACACCUCUAGACCCAAAGGGAGGUCAAGAGGUGACCUCUGCAGGAGAUGUAGAUGAUGCUUCUACAUUCAAGUUGAAGUAGCAAGAAAGAGGAUGUGCUCGGGGCUAGGGAGCAGGGCAAGGGGCUGGAUUUAUCCUUAGUAUUCACUAAGGAGUCAAAAAUUCUCUGUUUGAACUUGAUCUUUCAGCUUAUUAUGAAAGUAUAUUCAGCAAAGAGGAUAUGACAUUUGAUUUAACAGAUUGUUCAUCUGAUGUACAAUUUAUUUGUAACUUUUAAAUAUUUAAACACAUGAUAUUGUGCCUCCAUUGUGCUCUUGCCACAGACCCUGUAAUUGUUGGGGAGGGAGGCUUGGCCUUUGAUGCAGAGACACGACAAACAGCUGGGUUCUCAGCAUAUCAUUUCUGGGGCAUGGUUUUGCUAACAUUCUCUACCUGCCUAGUAUCACUGCUACCUACUUUCUAAGCUUCAUUCUUUCACCUUGCCAGAAUUGCCUUUUGACAAUGUUCUAUUUUGCUUAAAUCAAUCAGAGUUGAUUUCUCUUAGCAUGCAGCUAAGUAUAUACCACAUGCAAAAAAAACAAAAACAGAAAACACUUCAAUGGUCUGUGAAUUAGCUGAAUGGCAUUAAACUAUGUAAUGUAAACCCUUCUCUUCUGCUAACUGCCUCUAGCUAGGCUCCUUUAAAAGACUAUUCUCAAUAAAUGAAAAAUCUAGCCUUUCUAGUACUCACGUGAUUCAUCGAGAGUGAACUGUUCUCUAUAAUCACCAUGGCCAGAAGCCUCUAGGGAUUGUAACCUGCACAGCUGUGGGUCUGGGAAAUGUUAUUGUUUCCAGCCUAGGCCUGAAGCCUGAGUCACCAUUGGGACUGUCAUGCAAAGGAUCACUCUCUCCAAUCACAGGUCCAGGCAUCUCAUCUCUGGGGAUGUCUCAAAUGUCAAAAUUUCGGGAGAUUUAGAUAGAGAAGAAAAGCCAGUUUAUAAGAGCGUAUCAUGCUUUGGCAGGGACGCCUGCAACCCAGAUUUCAACUAAGGUAUUAAGCCUUUCCCCACCUUGUGCCAUGAUCUCAAAUACUUUAGAGAUCUCAGCCUCAUGGCAUUAUAAACUAUUCUAGAAUUAUAAAUUACACACACCCCCCCACAUCAUAUACACACAAAGACACAUACUUUUAUUUUAUCCAGAGGGAAGGCAAAGACCAUCAAGAUAGUCACUUACAUGUCCAUUGUGCUUAUUAAUUAGUAGUAAAAUUGUAGAUUAUGUUUUUCUUUCUACUUAUUAAUGUUUCCCACUUUUGAACAAUAAACAGGUUUUAAUUGUAUGAUUAGAAUUCAGUAUGAAAAAGAGAAAAAGGAUACUGGGAAACAAGUUGAAAUCCUAAUACUGAGAGUUUAAGAUUUAUUUAUAAGUACUAGAUUAAAGCUCAUGAGUCUCCACCACUGAUAGAACACAGCCAAAAUCUUAUUCGUUUCAUUUGUUGGGAACUUCAGAAUUAUAACACACUCAAAGUUGCCCAGGAAUCACCCCUACCCCCGCCAAAUUAUGUGUUAAUAUUCCCCUCAAGAGAUACGUAAUAUGCUUGUGUCUAUUUUUGUUUCAGUUUUGUUGGCUUGAGUGUCUUUCCAAUUGUUGCAUGAGUGUCUUUUCAUUCUGUGGAUUUUAAUGAAGAUUCUUGGAACCACUGUAAACACCUUCAUCAGUAGAUCUCUCAAUAGAGAAACCUUCAUGCCAGUUCUUACAUAAAAGUUGCAAGCCAACUUAAAAUUUGGGCUUCAUUUUUCCUUCCAUUCAAACUUUAGGGACAUCCUCACAUAGCUCUCAAAGACAGCUAUUGUUUAUGUUUUUCUCUCCUUAUUUCGAAGAAGUUGUAAUCAUUUGACCAAAGUUAGUAUAUUUCUGAUGCAAAUUUAUAAUUUUAUAAACGCUUAACCUAAAUUUGCCUAAUUGUAUGCAGCAGUAAAAAGUCAGGAUCUUGGCCGGGCUCGCACCUGUAAUCCCAGCACUUUGGGAGGCUGAGGCAGGUGGAUCACUUGAGGUUAGGAGCUGAAAACCAGCCUGGCCAACAUGGCAAAAUUCUGUCUCUACUAAAAAUGAAAAACAAUUAGCCACGCAUGGUGGAAGGCACCUAUAAGCCCAGCUACUAGGGUGGCUGAGACAUGAGAAUUGCUUGAACCCGGUGCGGGGGUGAGGCAGGAGGAGGGGUGCGGAGGUUGCAGUGAGCCGAAAUGGCUCCACUGCCCUCCAGCCUGGGUGACAGAGUGAGAAUCCAUCUCAAAAAAAGAAAAGAAAAGAAAAGAAAAAAGGCAGGAUCCCAAAUAAACUGAUAUUCUGUAAGAAAGGAAAAUCUGAAAUCAGUCGCUAAUAUCGUGAAGCCUGUAGAGCUCACCAUCUGGCACUCCUUGGAGGGAAGAUGAAGAGUUAAGAAUGAAUUUUUUGCAGAGGGUAAACUCUACAAUACUGGGCAUAAAACAAAGCAAAUCAUUGUUCCCAGUUUCCUUUAAGCAGCAAGAGAUAGAUGUAGCAGGUGUGGGAAUAUGCUGGUUAAGAACAUGCCUUUGGCAGCAAACGCACCUGGAAGCAAAUCCCAAUUCCACCAUAUAUUAGCCUCAUUAGACCUUGAAGAAACUACUUAAUCUCUCUAUAUCCUGAUUUUCUCAUUUAUAAGAUGGGAAUUGUAAUAGUACCUUUUCUUAGCUCUAUUUUUUGUUAUUUGCUCUUCAAUUUUUGGUUUCUCUGUUUGGUUUUAGAGGAUUAACUAAGAUAUUGUAUUGUACCUUGCACCAUGUCUGGAACAUAGUUCUCAAUAAAUGUUGG
rnacentral:lncRNA from 10 species